rnacentral:rRNA from 1 species
AAUCAACGCUGGCGGCGUGCCUAACACAUGCAAGUCGAACGCGAAAAUCCCGCAAGGGAUCUGUAGCGUGGCAAACGGGUGAGUAACACGUGGGUGACCUGCCUUCGAGCGGGGAGUAACGUCCCGAAGGGACGCUAAUACCGCAUGACAUCCUGCCUUUGAAGAGGUGGAGAUCAAAGCCGGGGAGUCGCAAGACCUGGCACUCGAAGAGGGGCCCGCGCCUGAUUAGCUAGUUGGUGAGGUAAUGGCUCACCAAGGCAACGAUCAGUAUCCGGCCUGAGAGGGCGGACGGACACACUGGGACUGAGACACGGCCCAGACUCCUACGGGAGGCAGCAGUGGGGAAUUGUUCGCAAUGGGCGCAAGCCUGACGACGCAACGCCGCGUGGAGGAUGAAGACC